rnacentral:rRNA from 1 species
UACGGGGGGAGCAAGCGUUGUCCGGAAUUAUUGGGCGUAAAGAGCUUGUAGGCGGUCUGUCGCGUCUGCUGUGAAAAUCCGGGGCUCAACCCCGGACUUGCAGUGGGUACGGGCAGACUAGAGUGUGGUAGGGGAGACUGGAAUUCCUGGUGUAGCGGUGAAAUGCGCAGAUAUCAGGAGGAACACCGAUUGCGAAGGCAGCUCGCUGGGACGUUACUGACGCUGAGACGCGAAAGCGUGGGGAGCAAACAGG